CUCAGUAAGGGCGACUGAAGCGGGAAGAGCUCAUUCUGUGAAUCUGUAUACUAUUUUUGGUAUACCGAGUUGUGGAAUAUAGAAGCACAUCAGUUCGAGUUCUGGUCUAAGUCUCUUGGAAAAGAGCAGCUUAGAGGGUGACACUCCCGUUCUUGGCUAGAACUCAAACUUUAGCAUGUGGUUUCGACGAGUCGAGUUGCUUGGGAUUGCAGCUCAAAGUUGGUGGUAAAUUCCAUCUAAAGCUAAAUAUCGGUGGGAGACCGAUAGCGUACAAGUACCGUGAGGGAAAGAUGCAAAGAACUUUGAAAAAAGAGUUAAAGAGUACCUGAAAUUGCUGAAAUGGAAGCGAAGGAAACCAGUGCCGUUCUAUACCAUUUUUCUGUUCUUGCUUGCGAGAAUAGCGCUGUGGUUUAGUACAGGCCAGCGUGAGUUUGAGCCGAAGGAAGCAGCUUUGCAGGAGGCAGCACAAUUUCUGUGCGAUUACUGCUUAGUUUUGCUUCGGCUUGGACUGAGGCUAGUCACUUGUGCUCGUGACGCUGGCGAAAUGGUUUUCUUUACCCCGUCUUGAAACACGGACCAUGAGUCUAACAUAUGUGCGAGUAUAUG
rnacentral:rRNA from 1 species